AUUGAACGCUGGCGGCAGGCCUAACACAUGCAAGUCGAACGAGUGGCGGACGGGUGAGUAAUGUCUGGGAAACUGCCCGAUGGAGGGGGGUAACUACUGGAAACGGUAGCUAAUACCGCAUACCAUCAGAUGUGCCCAGAUGGGAUUAGCUAGUAGGUGGGGUAACGGCUAACCAAGGCGACGAUCCCUAGCUGGUCUGAGAGGAUGACCAGCCACACUGGAACUGAGCAACGGUCCAGAAGCCUACGGGAGGAAGCAGUGGGGAAUAUUGCACAAUGGGCGCAAGCCUGAUGCAGCCAUGCCGCGUGUAUGAAGAAGGCCUUCGGGUUGUAAAGUACUUUCAGCGAGGAGGCGUUACUCGCAGAAGAAGCACCGGCUAACUCCGUGCCAGCAGCCGCGGUAAUAC
rnacentral:rRNA from 1 species